GGACACCCCAACAAGCUCCAAGCCACAGCCCAAGAGAAGUCUCAGGAAAGCAGACACUGAAGAAGAAUUUUUAGCAUUUAGGAAACAAACGCCAUCAGCAGGCAAAGCCAUGCACACGCCUAAAGCAGCAGUAGGUGAAGAGAAAGACAUCAACACAUUUGUGGGGACUCCAGUGGAGAAACUGGACCUGCUAGGAAAUUUACCUGGCAGCAAGAGACGGCCACAAA
rnacentral:misc_RNA from 1 species